ACCCCAACCCUGUGAAACAAGCCUUACUUCCAGGCUUGUUGCUGCAUAAAGUUUUUGGCUUUCAAGAUUCUGAUGAUGGCAUCUGUCUUAUCUGAACCCUGGAAGAAACCAUUUGGCUCCUGCAUGUGCCCACAAAUCUCCCGAGGUUCGGACGUCCAGAUUCUCCA